UCGCGGCCUAUCAGCUUGUUGGUGAGGUAAUGGCUCACCAAGGCGACGACGGGUAGCCGGCCUGAGAGGGUGACCGGCCACACUGGGACUGAGACACGGCCCAGACUCCUACGGGAGGCAGCAGUGGGGAAUAUUGCGCAAUGGGCGAAAGCCUGACGCAGCAACGCCGCGUGAGGGAUGAAGGCCUUCGGGUUGUAAACCUCUUUUAGCAGGGAAGAAGCGAAAGUGACGGUACCUGCAGAAAAAGCACCGGCUAACUACGUGCCAGCAGCCGCGGUAAUACGUAGGGUGCAAGCGUUAUCCGGAAUUAUUGGGCGUAAAGAGCUCGUAGGCGGUUUGUCGCGUCUGCUGUGAAAAUCUGAGGCUCAACCUCGGACUUGCAGUGGGUACGGGCAGACUAGAGUGCGGUAGGGGAGAAGGGAAUUCCUGGUGUAGCGGUGGAAUGCGCAGAUGUCAGGAGGAACACCAAUGGCGAAGGCACUUCUCUGGGCCGCUACUGACGCUGAGGAGCGAAAGCGUGGGGAGCGAACAGGAUUAGAUACCCUGGUAGUCCACGCCGUAAACGUUGGGCGCUAGAUGUGGGUCACAUUCCACGUGAUCCGUGUCGCAGCUAACGCAUUAAGCGCCCCGCCUGGGGAGUACGG
rnacentral:rRNA from 1 species